rnacentral:lncRNA from 1 species
CCAAUAAUUGCCAUUAAAUACAUAGUUAAAGAGAAAAAAAUAAGCAAAUACAAAUUAAACAUUGAGAUACAAAAGAACUCAAGUGUCACGGUUUGGUCUUCAAGUAUCUCUCCUUUCUCUUCUCCACGAAUUUGCUUGUGUUGCAACUUUGAAAUUCUCUCUUCUUUUGUGUUUGACGGCUAUCGAUGAUGUGUUUCCUUAAAAUGUGCUCUUUUUAUAGCUUGAAAUUAGUGCAACAAAAAAAAUGAGGACACUUGACUCUUUUUGGCAUUCUAGGCGACAUUUCUUUUUGUACUGCCUAUCAUUGUUUUGUCUGCACUUGAUAGUCGCAGUGCAAUAAUAACUAAAGCAGAAUUUUUCUGUUAGCACGUAAACAGUCUGGAUAGUUCUAUCUGUAUUUGAUCUUCUGGUCCAGACUUGUUUCUGUUCAUAUGCAGAUAAGUCUUUUAUUGCAUUCUACAGGCAUGUUGCUGCAGCAUAGUAGUCCUUCUUCUACAGCAUCCAUCAACAAGGCAUGAGCUUUUGAGUCGCCUAAAAUAGAGCACUCAAUCAUAGCAUAAUAUUGUCUAAAGCACAUCAACUUGUUAUAACUAAACUUAAAUAAAUGCUUAUGUAAAAAUAUAACUAAAAAUUAGAUAAGAAUUCAUCAUUUUCUCUCUCAGUAAUACUAGUUUAGGUCUAAAAAUGAUAUGAUAACUCUCAUUUCAUAGAGUUAUUCCUGAGUUAUAUAAACAACUUGAGCAAGAAUCUCCAUUAAGAAAAGCAUUGUUCACAUCAAUUUGCCAAACUUCCCAACCUUGCAUAACAAUUAAACUCAAAAUAACUCUUAUUAUUGUAGACCUCACUACAGGGUUAAAUGUUUUGAGUAGUCAACAUAGGGACGGCAAAAUCCGGAUCCAUAUCCGGAUUCGUAAAUUUUUUUACGAAUCUGGAUACGGGUAAUAUCCGUACGGAUUGCGGGCAAAUAUCUCAAAUAUUUAGAUCCACAAAAAUUAAAAUUUAACAAUUAAAAAAUAAGAUUAUGCAUUUAUCAUUUUACAUUAUAUUGAAAAUUAAUGAAUUUAAUUAAAGUAAUUAAACCAAAAACCAUAAAUUCAUUCUAUCUAUUUGUUAAAAAAAUUCAUCAAUUAAUCAGUCAAAAAUUUGUAAGCCAGGAGAAUGAAAAAGGGAAAAGCAACAGAAUGCAAACGGCAGUCAUUAUCUUCGUUCAAAUUAGCCAAUGUUAGAUCCAAAUGCGUCUUGGGACAAGGAUCAAUUGGGAGAUGUUUUGCAUUCGAUUUGACAAGUGGUGGCUCUUGCUCUGAUUUUGUAUGGUUCCCAAGAAAAAAAAAACAAAAAAACUAAUUACAAAAAUUGAAAUAAUUUGUAAAGCCAAGAAAGAUUACAGAAAUGCAACUGGGUGCGGUGAGCUUAGCAAGCCAGAGAUGCAAAGACGUGUCGACGUUUGGUGACAGCAAAGUGCGAUCAGCGAGGCAAGGCUGGGCAGCUGGCGUUCGACACCUGAAACACGUGCCCAGCUCGAUGACGCAGC